GGCCUAUUAGCCCAGUUGGAUAGAGCGUCGUGUUAAUAACGCGAAGGUUACAAGAUUGAGACUUGUAUGGGCCA
rnacentral:tRNA from 1 species